rnacentral:lncRNA from 1 species
UUGCUAAGCCCUUGUAGUUGAUAAGGUUGUGGAUGCUUGGUAGUGGUUAAGCAAAGCUUUUCCACCAUCGUCGUGCUGGCUAUGUUCGAGCAACUUUCACCAUCAAUAAUAACUCUACAAAGCUUACCUUGUACAUGGCAGCGAGUAUGAAAGAGAUGUUCUCGCUGCUGCUCACUCUUUGGUUUUGCCAAAGAUGAUUGUCCACGAUCAUGAAAAUCAUCAUCCAUUCUAGGGACACGUUGA